CGUAACGCAGGGAGGAUCAGCUUAUGGGACUUGCGCACUCGUUUAACGUCCUAAUGAUCAGUGCAGCGUUCGCAUUCGUGGCCAUAAUGCUUUUCGUGUGAUUCAGGCCACUGAAAGUCCG
rnacentral:misc_RNA from 1 species